GACGAACGCUGGCGGCGUGCUUAACACAUGCAAGUCGAACGGAAAGGCCGUGCUGUUGUGCGGUGCUCGAGUGGCGAACGGGUGAGUAACACGUGAGCAACCUGCCCUUGUCUUUGGGAUAACUUCAGGAAACUGGGGCUAAUACCGGACAGGAGCUCCUGUUGCGUGGAGGUCGGGGGAAAGUCUCGGCGGUUGGGGAUGGACUCGCGGCUUAACAGUUUGUUGGUUGGGUAGUGGCUUACCAAGGCGGAGACGGAUAACCGGCCUGAGAGGGUGGACGGGCACCUUGGGACUUAGGUAGGGACCAGUCGCCUACGGGAGGCAACAGGGGGGAAUAUUGCACAGUGGGCGGAAGCCUGAUGCAGCAACUCUGGGUGCGGAAAGACGGCCUUCGGGUUGUAAAAAGCUUUCGCCUGUGACGAAGCGUGAGUGACGGUAAUGGAUAAAGAAGCACCGGCUAACUACGUG
rnacentral:rRNA from 1 species